UGUCUCUCCCGAAACACAGGUGCACUUGGCGCUCCCUGCUGGAGGGGGCUUCAUGGUGGAAUAGACUUGGUGCCCUUAGAUCACCAGCUGCCAGAACUGGGGAGGACUUCAGUGAUCAUGGAGUUCAUCCCGCGGCCAAGUUGUCAAGUGAGGAAACAGAGGCCCAGAGAGGGGUAGCAACUUUUCCAAGGCCACACUGCAGCUCAGGUUCAGAGCAUGGGGAGGACCCUGCCCCGGCCCUGGACUUAGGGGUCAGAUGCUUUUCCAGGAAGCAGGGAUUGAGGAAGCACUGGCAUUGAUAGGCAACUCAAGAUUUUUCCUUUCUUUUCCCCUCAUUUCCCCUCCAUGAAAACCUGAGUCUUCAGCAUUUGAUGGGACCCCAGGAGCUGGUGGCUCUUCUGCUUCCCCACGCUGCUCCUUCUCGCUUGCUCCUCUGUCUGGCCACCCUGGUCCUCACACUAACCCAUAUUCAAGCCCUCGCAGCCACACGCAGUGAUCCUUGGGGUGCCCACACUCAACCAGGCCAUAUACAAAGUGCAUCUUUGUGCUAUGCUUGUGUGUCCACAGGGCCACACACAGGACACACCCCACACACAGGCACCUCAGGCAUAGCGUGAACACGCACAACCCCGCACACACACACACACACACACAGCCCCCCCCCUUCACCCCUCACCAUUCCCACCCCAGGCAGUUCCCUGCCUCUCCUCAGCACAGUGGGAACAAGGGAUGCUGACUCUAGAUGAGCUCUAGGGAAGGGGUUCCCUAGGAAUAGACCACUGCAGACCAGCUUCUCAAAAUCAUGACAUGAGCCAGACCCACAAACCCACAUUUCAAGCAGAGCCUGAGGACUAAGGCUUGGAGGCUGGGAAAACCAAGUGCUGUGGUCUCCUUCCUCCUCCAGUCUCUCCUGGUCACGUGGAUGCCUGGCCUGUGGACACGCCAUCCACUCCCAUCCUUUCCCAUCCCCUGCAUGGCUCAUGAUCAAGGUGACGGGGGGAAGACAGCUGUCCCUCUGCAACUUCUGCAAACUGCAAGCCAGGCCUCCUCCACUCCUAGCCUCUGGCAUUCCUGGAAAACUGGGCUCUCAGCAGGAACUUCCAACAGGUUCUACCCCAGAGAGCUGGCCCCGACUCCACCUGGAUCCAAGCCCACCGGCUGGCUAAUGGGCUGGGAGCAGGUCCUGCCCUGCCCCGGGAACGGUCACUGUGGUUCCAUCUAUCCCAGGGCGGUUUCCCCCCUGGAGCCCUUCUCCAGCAGGAGAGCACUGAAUGGCGAGCCACUGGCCCCUCGCCCGACCUUCGUGAGCCAAGGCUGAGUUUAUUGUCAGAAAGAUGACUAAGAAAUCCCCGACACAGUGUAUCAUCAGCAUUAUGAUUGGAGAAACAACACCUACAAAAUCUAUGAUUCAUUAAGUGUAACCAAUAUAUAAUUUAAAACAGUGGGUUUUGUCAAAUAAUGUGAGGUCAGCAUAAUUUUCUGCCUAUUACUAAUAUCUAUAACAUCUUUGCCUUAGUCAGCUCUAUUUAAAUAUGCAAUCAUUUACAGCUUUUGAGAAUAUUUCUGUGUACUCCCAAUUUCCAAUAUUCAACUACGACAAAUUUUAUGCUGACAUCAAUAGCAAACUAUUAAAGACAGUAUUUCAUUAUUGGUUUUUCAUCCCAAAAGUUAUUUACAAUUAUAUACUAAGCACUAAUAUUAAAGGAAACCAUUUAAAUGAGGUGCUAUCUACUUUAACAAUAUGUCUGUCACAGAAUGAGAUUGUGUUUAAAGAUUUUAUCAAGAAAUGGUUGUUUGCUGAGGUUAUGUUUUGUCCAUGAAAUAUGCAUUUCAUAUCUCUUUCAUUUCAUUAACAUAAUUUAAUUUGUGCUUUGCAUUUUGUGCAUAAUACAUAUUUGAUUUACAAAACAAAUAUUUCCAUUAGAAAAUGAAUUUCAUGCAGGCAAAAAAGCAGAACCAAAUGAUGUAUUGAAGGAAAAUAAGAAGAAAUGAAAUGCAUUUUCUCAGUCUAUUAAAAAAUCUAUGGCAUUG
rnacentral:lncRNA from 1 species